rfam:Danio rerio chromosome 4, GRCz11 reference primary assembly.
GUUAGGAUGGCCGAGCGGUAUAAGGCGCUGCGUUCAGGUCGCAGUCUCCUCUGGAGGCGUGGGUUUGAAUCCCACAUCUGACA